rnacentral:rRNA from 1 species
GACGAACCGUGCGAACGUUGUUCGGAUUCACUGGGCUUAAAGGGCGCGUAGGCGGCCGGUCAAGUCCGGGGUGAAAUCUUUCAGCUCAACUGGAAAAGUGCCCCGGAUACUGAUUGGCUCGAGGGAGGUAGGGGUCGAGGGAACUUCCGGUGGAGCGGUGAAAUGCGUAGAGAUCGGAAGGAACGCCGGUGGCGAAAGCGCUCGACUGGACCUCUUCUGACGCUGAGGCGCGAAAGCUAGGGGAGCAAACGGG